rnacentral:rRNA from 1 species
GACGAACGCUGGCGGCGUGCCUAAUACAUGCAAGUUGAGCGCUGAAGGUUGGUACUUGUACCAACUGGAUGAGCAGCGAACGGGUGAGUAACGCGUGGGGAAUCUGCCUUUGAGCGGGGGACAACAUUUGGAAACGAAUGCUAAUACCGCAUAAAAACUUUAAACACAAGUUUUAAGUUUGAAAGAUGCAAUUGCAUCACUCAAAGAUGAUCCCGCGUUGUAUUAGCUAGUUGGUGAGGUAAAGGCUCACCAAGGCGAUGAUACAUAGCCGACCUGAGAGGGUGAUCGGCCACAUUGGGACUGAGACACGGCCCAAACUCCUACGGGAGGCAGCAGUAGGGAAUCUUCGGCAAUGGACGAAAGUCUGACCGAGCAACGCCGCGUGAGUGAAGAAGGUUGUCGGAUCGUAAAACUCUGUUGGUAGAGAAGAACGUUGGUGGGAGUGGAAAGCUCAUCAAGUGACGGUAACUACCCAGAAAGGGACGGCUAACUGCGUG